GUUCGGUAUAAAAGCUUCAUACUUUAGUACGCCGGAACGAUUACACUACUAUGACUAGGCGUUUAAUGUGCGGAGUGCCUUACAAUGUAAUGAGUAA